rnacentral:rRNA from 1 species
UACGUAGGGUCCGAGCGUUGUCCGGAAUUACUGGGCGUAAAGAGCUCGUAGGUGGUUUGUCGCGUUGUUCGUGAAAACUCACAGCUCAACUGUGGGCGUGCGGGCGAUACGGGCAGACUAGAGUACUGCAGGGGAGAGUGGAAUUCCCGGUGUAGCGGUGAAAUGCGCAGAUAUCGGGAAGAACACCCGCGGCGAAGGCGGCUCUCUGGGACGGUACUGACGCUGAGACGCGAAAGCGUGGGGAGCGAACAGG